UUCAAAGUAGCGAGAGAGCUCACAACUUCCGGGUGAAACAACGAAAUAAAAUACUGCAUUUGCAGGAUUAUGAAUUGAGCCAAACUCCAAAUUAAACUAUGAAGAAUAAGUAGCUUCUAAUACAACAUCAUGAUAAUACAGUAUCUGAUAUAAUUGGAUUUAGACAAACACAUAUACAAGAAUGCUGGUUUGGGUUGGAUUUUUAGAUUGAUAGAACAUGUCGGUUGUGAUGUUGCAACCGAUGUACUCUGGGUCUUGUUAGUUGCUGCUACCUUCACAUUUGUUUACUUUUGACCCGGAUAUGCCAUUUCCUUCUAGAAGUUUGCUUCCAGUGAGUUUCCAGAAAAGGCUAGACAAAUUUAAUAACUUUCUAUUCAUUAUCUUAUGUUCUGAUUAUUUUAUUUUUCUAUUCUUUACCCUGACUUAUCUUUAGCAACAUUAAUUAUUCCUUUAUUUUCGUAUUCCCUUUCCCCAAGUUACAUAUUUGGAAGGGCCAAUGCAGCCGUUUUUAUCUCAAUAUCAAAUCAUUUCUGGGUAACAAUUAAGUAGCCUACCUUACUGUGGUUGUUUUAAAUUAAAAUGCUAGGACUGUCUGGUAGUAGUCUGAGUGGAGGGGAAAACAUUGUUAUUGGCAGAGAGGUUUGGAACUCCCUUUGUUAUUGGUUUAUUAAUACAUUUACUGCCUGGUAAUGUCACAAUUUCACAGUAUUAUUCCUCCCUCAUAGUGUGGAAAUAUAUAUAAAACAAAGAAAACUCCAGUUUUUGAUUGCACUGGGCCUUUAAAUUAAACUGUAUCUAACUAGUUUCAAAUUAAUUGAAGUAAAUUGGCAUAAUGCAGCCACUACAAAGAAAACAAAGACAUCGUCUUUGGAAGUGUGAGUGGCGUGGGGAGGAUGAGGGAAGACUUCUCAACCUAUCAGACACACUAACAGGACAGUCAGGACACAGAGGGCACCACCAGCAGGCGUUUCCCAGGAACCAUCUGGAGAGGUCCACUGUGGCAGCUGCUGCCCAGGCAGGAGAGCGCUUUAUGUGGUUCGGGAGGCAUGAUGAGGACCGUCCUGUGUCCCUUGGAGUGCUGGCAGCUUCCAACUGUUCCUCCUCGUCCAAGCCUUCCAGAUACUCCUACCAUAGCAGGCAUUAGAUGAAUACACCAUAUUAUCCAGAUACUCUUCUUUAGGAAAUCUGAAAGCAACACAUCUUGAUAGUCUUACAAGUGCAAAUAAAAAACGUCAACAUUGAGAUACGGAGAUGUUGAAUUGUAUUAUACAUUUCUCUUAAGAACUGUGUUUUUACUGUAAUACAGAUCAGGCUACCACCCAACCCUUUUGUUCCUCAGUAAUUCAUCAAGUCCAGAUUAAUUACGUAAUGAAGGGCCAUCUAAAUUACACCAUUCAUCAUAGGAUUUAAGGAAGUAGAUAAAAAAAACGUCAUAAAUGAGAAAGAUUAUUAAAUGUGAUGUAUAAAAGACAAAAGAAGACACUGAGUAGACAUGGCAUUAUAUUCCUCUACUGAUAAAAGAUUCACCAAUAAAAUGCAAGCUUUUUAUUUAGAACUUUGUUGAAUUGAUACUGCCACAAUCCCAUCUGAGGCACUUACACCAGCUGAAUAGCAAACAUGAUUGAGGUGCAAUGUGUGUGUGUGAUUGCGUGCCUGCAUGUGGAUUGCUCUGUCUUCCGUACUGCGCCUACAGAGUAGUGAUGGGUCGUUCGUAACUGAACGUUGGUAGCUGAACUUUGGGAGCCGGCUCGCAUAUCAGAAGAGCCGAAUCUAUAAAUACAUUUAAAAAAAAUAAGAUAUAAAUAAUCAAAAGAUUUAAAUAAAUAUAAUUAACAAAUAAAAUAAUAUAGGCCUAAAUGCUCAAGCACACACAUUCGUUCUGACUGUCUGUUCAGACGAACAGCCUCACCUGUUGUUCCUAUCAAUCAGACACGCAGUGUCAACCAAUGAACCAAAGAUGCGUGAGGGAGGGCCGAGCCAACUCACUCACAGCCACACACUUAGCAGCGGAGGAGAGAGGAAGGACAGCUGUGAAAACAACAGCUGGAAAAUGAGUUGGGAGCACACAACCAGUGAUCCGGGUCAACAGAAUCAAUGUAACAGUAUAACUUUACGGCGUCCCCUCGCCCCAACACAGGCGCAAACCAGGGACCCUCUGCACACAUCAACAACAGUCACCCACGAACCUUUCAACCUCCUCCUUUUCCGCAGCAACCAGUGAUCCGGGUCAACAGCAUCAAUGUAACAGUAUAACUUUACGGCGUCCCCUCGCCCCAACACGGGCGCAAACCAGGGACCCUCUGCACACAUCAACAACAGUCACCCACGAAGCGUCGUUACCCAUCGCUCCACAAAAGCUACGGCCCUUGCAGAGCAAGGGGCAACACUACUUCUAGGUUUCAGAGCAAGUGACGUAACUGAUUGAAACGCUAGUAGUGCGUACCCGCUAACUAGCUAGCCAUUUCACAUCCGUUACACUGAAAAACUUAAGUCUACACAACGCCAGAUGGGGAUGCCUGAGCUGAGGCCUAAACAAGACUGCACUACAAGGUGGAAUUCAACAUUUUAUAUGUUGAAUUGGUUUUUUUGAGUCAUAGGAUGCCAUCAUCUCUACCCUGGCCAUUGUCAAUGCACCUGUUGAUGCUCUGACCCAAGAGGAAUGGGAGGUGGUGGAGGAGGUGUGCAGAGUCCUGGAACCCUUUGAGCAGGUCACUGUGGAGAUCAGUGGAGAGAGCUAUGUGACAGCCUCAAAAAUGAUACUCCUGUGUAAUGGUCUGCAGCGAAUCACAGCCAGCCGCCAGAGAGAAGCAAAUGUAACCACAGGACAUGUGACAAAGUUGAUGGACACCCUAUGUUCAUCAAUGGACAGAAUCCACAGAAUGGAAUAUAAUUUUGUGCUAUCAGAAACCGCUGCACUUGACCCCAGGUUUAAGAAAUUAGCCUUCAGUGAUGCCAGAGCGAUUGAUGAGGCUCUUCAAAGAAUAACCUCAGCAGCAGGGAGUGACAUCCCCAGCAGUCAGCUGGCUCAGGUGCCAGGGCAACAGGCAGAAGAGGGAUCAGAUGGAUUAGAAGCACCAGCAGUAGUGCCACAAACGUCUGCUGUUUGGAUGCUGUUUGACGAGAGAGCAACUGGGGAUGCAGCAUGAAGGAAUCCCUCAGCAGAUGCCAUAAUGGAGGUUCGAUCCUAUUUGGAGGAGCCCCUCCUCUGAGCUGGUGGAAGAACAAGGCCUCUGUCUACCCACGGCUUACUAAAGUCAGAACAGGGAGACUCUGCAUAAUGGCCACAUCCGUUCUCUCAGAGGGUCUUCUCGAAAACGGGACAAAUAAUUACUGAGAGAAAAAACUGCAUGCAGCUUGCAUUUCUGAAUGCAAAUCUCUCAUAAAAGCAAAAUAUGGUCAGCAUUGCUGUGUGCUGCUGGUUAUAACAUGGCAAUAAAGAAGAGAGAGAAAAGAGGGACCAGUUUAAUGUUUAAGUGGGAUACUACAGUUUUACACGGUGUUAUUUAUUUUUCUUUGAUGGUGCAAUAUUCUAUUAUUAUGUUGUUCAGAUUGUAUUCGUUUUGAGUUGUUACAUUUAUAUGCACUUUGUUUAUAUACAUUUAAAAAGUUAUACUUUAAAUGCACAUGUUUAAUAGCAUUAUUUUUCAUAACAAACUAAUGCAUUUAUAAAUACAUUGUGCUUAAGCUAGAGUAUGAUUUCAUUUAAUAAUUUAAUUAGAAUUGUUUUAACACCAAUCUUAGUCAAAGAAUCACAAACUGUUUAACUUGAAAAAAAUACAAAACAUAUAUUUUUUAAAGAGCCAUUUGGGAGCCAAAAGAGCCAGCUCACUGAAAGAGGCGGAAUGGCCGUCACUACUACAGAGAGUUUCGCGGCUAAAUUCACAAUAUCUCCAGCAGAUGGCAGCUCUGUAUGAGUAAUGGUUAUGGUCUGACAGGUACAGUAGUUAUCUGUUAUGUUGUGCAUGACCUCAUCAAGAAAUACGUCACCUGUCGGGCCCAGUCUUGGGAAUGAAAAAAGGGAAAGAAAUCGGGUUUGUACUUCAUGUCAGAGACAGGCAAAUUAGAGCAUCUGCAUGGAAGGGAGCGAUGAUGUCUAUUAGACAUGCUACAACAUGUCCCAAAGGCUGGCAGAUACCCCUCAGCAGCAAUCUGUUUCACUGUAACCACUUAAAGAGGACAUGGCCAACUGUACUGGGGAGAGGAGCGAGAGGAGGGAGGGUCGGGUGUAAGGCAAGGAGGACACCUGCUUGGGAUGUCUAUAUAUUCUCUAUGCGGGCAAAGAGAGAGAGCGAGAGGUGGGCUGGGGAGCAGCUGCUCUCUUUCAAUGAGCACUCUACAGGGAGAUUGUUUUUCAUUUUUUUCUUUCUCUCCAGGGUCUCUAUCUUGCCUGACCUUUACUUCACUGUUAGAUCAUGCAGUAUUUAUAGAAGAGAUGAAUUAGACAAUGAGCUGACCUUUUGAACCAUCCAUUCUCUCACAGUUAGUAGGUUUGCGGCUGGAGACGGUGGAUGGACAGAACAUGUGUUCAGUAACCACAAGAGUAGAGAAAGAGUUAGAUAGUCAUCUGUCUUCUAUCUAAGAUCAUCCUCUUAUCUUUUAUCUUCCACCCUAUGGGAGACUUGCUAAAAAUAUAAAUCAACGAUACAGUAAUGUAAGGAAAGGCAAAGAUGUAUCCACCUGGAAUCGCAAUUCAUAGGCACCAUCAAAUAUCUUAUCUUACAGAGGCAGUUGAACUGAAUUUGGAUAAGGGAAGAAGAGUGGAGGUGGUAUCAGGGUUUCUGUGGCCUUUGAUUGAUGAAAGUUAUGAACCGGUAGAUUGUGUGACUGUAUUAAUGCUUGGGGAGAGAAUUGUACAGUAUGCAUGAAGAGGAGCCUUUAGCCGUAUUGAGAAGCAGGUGCUGCUUACAAAGUAACACCUGCACCUCUCUGUCUGGCGGUCAGUCUGUCCAUCUGUCUGUGAGUUACUUUGGACUGUAUUUUCUGCCUGCACCUGCUGGAUAGUGAGGCUAUAGUGCUGGUCUUGGCCUUACCACAACAUGUCUGUUCCAUUCAUUGACUGUGCACCACACCCCAGCCUCAAGCAGCUCAACAUCAAAUCAAAUUGUAUUUGUAAACAACAGGCCCUUCCCAACCAAUCAGAGAGAAAGAAAAUAGAGAAAUAAUAGAAAAGCAAUAAACACACACACACACACUCUCUUCAUAGAGGAGGAAGAACUCACAGGGGAACACAUUGAGAAUCAUGAACUCAAUUACAGACGACUUGACCCCUUUCUCUGUCUGUAUAUUUGUAGGUAGCUUUGUUUCUGUUUCCUCUGCCCAUUCCACCCACCCUCUGUCCCGACGUAGGGAUGUAUUUUAAAUCUCUGUGGCAACAGCGUCCUAAUUUAUUCAGUUCACAGAGAGGUCAAGAACAGCCCCCCCACCCACCCUAACUCUACAAAACACAGUAAAACCCAUUCUCCCAUCAUAACCAUGAUAAGUGAAAGAACCCAUACUCAAAAGACCUGUUCGAGAGGAUCAAAUACAUUAUGCAUUGUGGGUAAAUGGUGACUGACUUACUGAUCUACUAAUAAUAAUGAGCAGUUAUUUAUGAUGCAAGGUGAUCUGCAGAUCAGGCAGUCUGUCGGCUGCAAUGUCGAACAAGCCCUAUGUGGUGCAUCCAUACCAUGUUUGUAUGCAUUUGUGUAUGUGCGUGUGUAUGUAUACACGCGCGAGUGUUACUGUGUAUUUGUUUGUGCGUGUUUGUGUUCACACUGUGAUGUGUAAAUAUGGACCAACAAGUGCAAACAGAUGCCAGCUGGCGUAUCAGACUUCCAAUCACUGUCUCUCACAGACAAAAGACACAAUUCAGUAAACAAGCUUUCAACCACCAAAGCGUACCUUGAUGAAUAUU